rnacentral:rRNA from 1 species
UACGUAGGGGGCAAGCGUUGUCCGGAUUUACUGGGCGUAAAGCGCGUGUAGGCGGUACGUUAAGUCUGUCGUGAAAGCUCCUCGCUUAACGGGGAGAGGUCGAUGGAAACUGGCGCACUUGAGGACGGUAGAGGGGGGUGGAAUUCCCGGUGUAGUGGUGAAAUGCGUAGAUAUCGGGAGGAACACCAGCGGCGAAGGCGGCCCCCUGGGCCGCUCCUGACGCUGAGACGCGAAGGCCAGGGUAGCGAACGGG